rnacentral:ncRNA from 1 species
CGGCGCGGUCCGGCGGAGGUUGGAUCCCGUCCCGUCGGGGCGGGCGCACUACCGGCCGAUCUUCUCCGCCCUGUCGGCGAGGUCGAGCGAGAGCGUGCAAGUCGGGACCCGAAAGAUGGUGAACUAUGCCUGAGGAGGUUGAAGCCAGAGGAAACUCUGGUGGAGGACCGUAGCGAUUCUGACGUGCAAAUCGAUCGUCAAAUUUGGGUAUAGGGGCGAAAGACUAAUCGAACCGUCUAGUAGCUGGUUCCCUUCGAAGUUUCCCUCAGGAUAGCUGGCGCUCUGUCGCAGUUUUAUCUGGUAAAGCGAAUGAUUAGAGGUCUUGGGGGCGAAACGCCCUCAACCUAUUCUCAAACUUUAAAUUGGUAAGAAGCCCGACUCGCUCGUUUGGAGCCGGGCAUGGAAUGCGAGUGCCAAGUGGGCCACUCUUGGUAAGCAGGACUGGCGAUGCGGGAUGAACCGAACGCCGGGUUAAGGCGCCCGACGCGACGCUCAUCAGAGCCCACAAAAGGUGUUGGUUGAUAUAGACAGCAGGACGGUGGCCAUGGAAGUCGGAAACCGCUAAGGAGUGUGUAACAACUCACCUGCCGAAUCAAUCAGCCCUGAAAAUGGAUGGCGCUGGAGCGUGGGGCCUAUACCCGGCCGUCGCGGCGGUACGAGCAUCGAGUUGGUGCGCUAGGCC